UGGGGAAUCUUGCGCAAUGGACGAAAGUCUGACGCAGCCACGCCGCGUGAGUGAAGAAGGCCUUCGGGUUGUAAAGCUCUGUCGCGAGGGACGAACAUUUCUAGGGUGAACAGCUCUAGAAGCUGACGGUACCUCGAAAGGAAGCACCGGCUAACUCUGUGCCAGCAGCCGCGGUAAUACAGAGGGUGCAAGCGUUGCUCGGAAUCAUUGGGCGUAAAGGGUAGGUAGGUGGUCUCAUUUGUCUGGGGUGAAAGCCCAGGGCUUAACCCUGGAAGUGCCCCGGAAACGGUGAGACUAGAGUCUUGGAGAGGGUCGUGGAAUUCCCGGUGUAGCGGUGAAAUGCGUAGAGAUCGGGAGGAACACCAGAGGCGAAGGCGGCGACCUGGACAAGUACUGACACUCAACUACGAAAGCGUGGGGAGCAAACAGGAUUAGAUACCCCUGUAGUCC
rnacentral:rRNA from 1 species